UACAGAGGUCCCAAGCGUUGUUCGGAUUCACUAGGCGUAAAGGGUGCGUAGGUGGUGAGGUAAGUCGGAUGUGAAAGCUCGGAGCUCAACUCCGAAAUGGCAUUGGAAACUACCUUGCUCGAGGGUUGGAGGGGGGACUGGAAUACUUGGUGUAGCAGUGAAAUGCGUAGAUAUCAAGUGGAACACCAGUGGCGAAGGCGAGUCCCUGGACAACUCCUGACACUGAGGAGCGAAAGCGUGGGGAGCGAACAGG
rnacentral:rRNA from 1 species